rnacentral:rRNA from 1 species
CCCCGUAACCUAGGGAGAAGGGGUGCUCGUCAGAGACGAGCCGCAGAAAAACGGCCCAAGCGACUGUUUACCAAAAACACAGCUCUCUGCGAAGGCGCAAGCCGAAGUAUAGGGGGUGACGCCUGCCCGGUGCUGGAAGGUCAAGGGGAGUGGUCAGCGCAAGCGAAGCCAUGAUCCGAAGCCCCAGUAAACGGCGGCCGUAACUAUAACGGUCCUAAGGUAGCGAAAUUCCUUGUCAGGUAAGUUCUGACCCGCACGAAAGGCGUAACGAUUUGGGCGCUGUCUCGGCUGUAGACUCGGUGAAGUCUUAGUACCUGUGAAGAUGCAGGUUGCCCGCGACUAGACGGAAAGACCCCAUGGAGCUUCACUGCAGGUUGACAUUGGGCCUGGGUGCAUGAUGUACAGGAUAGGUGGGAGGCAGAGAGACGGGUUCGCCAGGAUCCGAGGAGCCGCCGUUGGGAUACCACCCUUCAUGCAUCUAGGUUCUAACCGGAGGCCAUGAACUGGCCACGGGACAGUGUCAGUCGGGCAGUUUGACUGGGGCGGUCGCCUCCCAAAGAGUAACGGAGGCGCCCAAAGAUACCCUCAGCGUGGAUGGAAACCACGCAUCGAGUGCAAAGGCAUAAGGGUGUCUGACUGCGAGACAUACAGGUCGAGCAGGGACGAAAGUCGGGCUUAGUGAUCCGGCGGUUCCGAAUGGAAGGGCCGUCGCUCAACGGAUAAAAGCUACCCUGGGGAUAACAGGCUGAUCUCCCCCAAGAGUUCACAUCGACGGGGAGGUUUGGCACCUCGAUGUCGGCUCAUCGCAUCCUGGAGCUGAAGUCGGUUCCAAGGGUUGGGCUGUUCGCCCAUUAAAGCGGUACGCGAGCUGGGUUCAGAACGUCGUGAGACAGUUCGGUCCCUAUCUGUCGUGGGCGCAGGAGGUCUGAGGAGAGCUGCCCUCAGUACGAGAGGACCGGGGUGGACGGACCGAUGGUGCACCAGUUGUCACGCCAGUGGCACAGCUGGGUAGCCAAGUCCGGAAGGGAUAAGCGCUGAAGGCAUCUAAGCGCGAAGCCCCCUCCAAGAUGAGACCUCCCAUUGCGCAAGCAAGUAAGACCCCUCGAAGACGACGAGGUUGAUAGACCGGGAGUGCAAGCAUGGCGACAUGUUCAGCGGACCGGCACUAAUAGGUCGAGGACUUGACCGA